GGAAUAUUGGACAAUGGGGGCAACCCUGAUCCAGCCAUGCCGCGUGUGUGAAGAAGGCCUUUUGGUUGUAAAGCACUUUAAGCAGGGAGGAGAGGCUAAUGGUUAAUACCCAUUAGAUUAGACGUUACCUGCAGAAUAAGCACCGGCUAACUCUGUGCCAGCAGCCGCGGUAAUACAGAGGGUGCGAGCGUUAAUCGGAAUUACUGGGCGUAAAGCGAGUGUAGGUGGCUCAUUAAGUCACAUGUGAAAUCCCCGGGCUUAACCUGGGAACUGCAUGUGAUACUGGUGGUGCUAGAAUAUGUGAGAGGGAAGUAGAAUUCCAGGUGUAGCGGUGAAAUGCGUAGAGAUCUGGAGGAAUACCGAUGGCGAAGGCAGCUUCCUGGCAUAAUAUUGACACUGAGAUUCGAAAGCGUGGGUAGCAAACA
rnacentral:rRNA from 1 species